rnacentral:tRNA from 1 species
GGCUGUGUGGUCUACUGGUAUGAUUCUCGCUUAGGGUGCGAGAGAUCCCGAGUUCAAUUCUCGGCACAGCCC